CCUACGGGGGGCUGCAGUGGGGAAUCUUGGACAAUGGGGGCAACCCUGAUCCAGCCAUGCCGCGUGUGUGAAGAAGGCCUUCGGGUUGUAAAGCACUUUCAGCAGGGAGGAAGGCUUACCCCUAAUACGGGUGAGUACUUGACGUUACCUGCAGAAGAAGCACCGGCUAAUUUCGUGCCAGCAGCCGCGGUAAUACGAAAGGUGCAAGCGUUAAUCGGAAUUACUGGGCGUAAAGCGCGCGUAGGCGGUGUGUUAAGUCGGAUGUGAAAGCCCAGGGCUCAACCUUGGAAUUGCAUCCGAUACUGGCACGCUAGAGUGCAGUAGAGGGAGGUGGAAUUUCCGGUGUAGCGGUGAAAUGCGUAGAGAUCGGAAGGAACACCAGUGGCGAAGGCGGCCUCCUGGACUGAUACUGACGCUGAGGUGCGAAAGCGUGGGGAGCAAACAGGAUUAGAUACCCGAGUAGUC
rnacentral:rRNA from 1 species